AGAGUUUGAUCAUGGCUCAGAACGAACGCUGGCGGCAGGCUUAACACAUGCAAGUCGAGCGCCUCGCAAGAGGAGCGGCAGACGGGUGAGUAACGCGUGGGAAUCUACCCAUCUCUACGGAACAACUCCGGGAAACUGGAGCUAAUACCGUAUACGUCCUUCGGGAGAAAGAUUUAUCGGAGAUGGAUGAGCCCGCGUUGGAUUAGCUAGUUGGUGGGGUAAUGGCCUACCAAGGCGACGAUCCAUAGCUGGUCUGAGAGGAUGAUCAGCCACAUUGGGACUGAGACACGGCCCAAACUCCUACGGGAGGCAGCAGUGGGGAAUAUUGGACAAUGGGCGAAAGCCUGAUCCAGCCAUGCCGCGUGAGUGAUGAAGGCCCUAGGGUUGUAAAGCUCUUUCAACGGUGAAGAUAAUGACGGUAACCGUAGAAGAAGCCCCGGCUAACUUCGUGCCAGCAGCCGCGGUA
rnacentral:rRNA from 1 species